rnacentral:lncRNA from 1 species
AAAAAAAAAGAAAGGGCAUGCAUAGAGCAGUGUUCAAAAGAAGGGAUGGCUGGGUGCAAUGGCUCACACCCAUAAUCCCAAUGCUUUGGGAGGCUGAGGCAGGAGGAUCACUUGAGACCAAGAGCUCAAGACCAGUCUGAAAAACGUAGUGAAACCCCAUUUCUACAAAAAAAAUUUUUUUUUAAUUAGCUGGGCAUGGUAGCACACACCGGUAGGUAGUCUUAGCUACUCUGGAGGCUGAGGCAGGAGGAUCACUUGAGCCCAAGAGUUGGAGGCUGCAGUGAGCUAUGAUCAUGCCACCACACUACAGCCUGGGUGACAGAGUGAGACCCUGUCUCUGAAUAAAUAAAUAAAUAAAUAACAAGAGAGACGCCAUAGGUCAGGGGAAGGAGGGCUUGCUACUUUAUGUAAGGUGUCAGAGAAGAUCUCUUGCGAGGUGACAUUAUAAGGGGAAGACUUUGUCAAGGGGAAGAACAUUCCAAGCAUAGUUCACAGCAAAUACAAAAACCCUGGGAUGGAAGCUUGGCUGCCAGAUCAAGGAACAGCAAGGAGCCCCUGUGGCCAGAGCUCCAUGAGGGAGGAAAAGAUGGGGUCUGAAGAGCAGUGAGGGCCAGGUGGUAUGGAAGCCUCUACGCUACCACGAGCACUUAAGCAUGCUUCCGAGUGAGAUGGGGAGCCACGGAAGGUCAUGAGUGAGGCAUGGCAAUACUUGACUUAGGUUUUGUUUUGUUUUGUUCUGUUUUGUUUUGUUUUGUUUUUGAGACAGAGUUUCGCUCUUGUUGCCCAGGCUGGAGUGCAAUUGCGUGAUCUCAGCUCACCACAACCUCCGCCUCCCGGGUUCAGGCGAUUCUCUUGCCUCAGCCUCCAGGGUAGCUGGGAUUACAGGCACGCGCCACCACACCCGGCUAAUUUUGUAUUUUUAGUAGAGACGGGGUUUCUCCAUGUUGGCCAGGCUGGUCUCGAACUCCUGACCUCAGGUGAUCUGCCUGCCUCGGCCUCCCAAAGUGCUGGGAUUACAGGCGUGAGCCACCGUGCCUGGCCUUUGACUUAGGUUUCAAAAAGAUUAAUUGGCCGGGAGCAGUGGCUCACAUCUGUAACCCCAGCACUUUGAGAGGCCAAAGCGGGAGGAUCGUUUGAGCCUAGGAAUUCAAGACCAGUCUGGGCACCAUAGUGAGACCCUGCCUAUUUACAAAUAAUUUUAAAAAUUAGUCAGGCAUGGUGAUGCAUGCCUGUACUGGGGCGGCUGAGGUGGGAGGAGUGCUUGAGCCCAGGAGUUUGAGGCUACAGUGAGACGUAAUCCCAACAGUAUACUCCAGCUUGGGUCACAGAGUGAGACCCUGUCAAAAACAAAACAAAACAAAAAGGAUCAAUCUUGCUGGGCGCGGUGGCUCACACCUAUAAUCCCAGCACUUUGGGAGUCCGAGGCGGGCGGAUCACAAGGUCAGGAGAUCGAGACCAUCCUGGCUAACACGGUGAAACCCCGUCUCUACUAAAAAUACAAAAAAUUAGCUGGGCAUGGUGGCAGGAGCCUGUAGUCCCAGCUACUCAGGAGGCUGAGGCAGGAGAAUCGCUCAAACCUGGGAGGCAGAGGUUACAGUGAGCCGAGAUUGCACCACUGCACUCCAGCCUGGGCAAUACAGCAAGACUCCAUCUCAAAAAAAAAAAAAAAAAAAAAGAAUAACAGAAGGCCGGGAGUGGUGGCUCAUGCCUGUAAUCUCAGCAUUUUGGGAGGCCAAGGCAGGUGGUGACACCUGAGGUCAGGAAUUCAAGACCAGCCUGGCCAACAUAGUGAAAUCCUCAUCUCUGCUAAAAAAUAACAAAAAAUUAGCCAGACAUUGUGACAUAUACCUGUAGUCCCAACUACUCAGGAGGCUGAGGCAGGGGAAUCACUUGAACCUGGGAGGCGGAGGUUGCAGUGAGCCGAGAUUGCACCACUGCACUCCAGCCUGGGUGACAAAGCAAGACUUUGUCUCAAAAAAAAAAAAAAAAAAAGAGAGAGAGAGAAAUGAAAUGAAAUUCUAACACAAAAUAUAACAUAGAUGAACCCUGAAAGUGAAGUAAGCUAGACAGAAGAGGACAAAUACUGUGUCAUUCCACUUAUAUGAGGUACCUAGAGUAGUCAAAUUCAUACAGUCAGAAAGUAGCAGCCAGGCAUGGUGGCUCACGCCUGUAAUCCCAGCACUUUGGGAGGCCGAGGUGGGUGGAUCACCUGCGGUCAGGAGUUCGAGACCAGCCUGACCAACAUGGAGAAACCCCAUCUCUACUAAAAAUACAAAAUUAGCAGGCGGGGUAGCACAUGCCUGUAAUCCCAGCUACUUGGGAGGCUGAGGCAGGAGAAUCGCUUGAACCCAGGAGGCGGACGUUGCGGUGAGCCAAGAUUGUGCCAUUUUACUCCAGCCUGGGCAACAAGAGCUAAACUCCGAAACUCUGUCUCAAAAAAAAGAAAGAAAAGAAGAAAGGAAGGAAGGAAGAAAGGAAAGAAGGAAGGAAGGAAGGGAGGGAGGGAGGGAGGGAGGGAGCAUGGUGGUUGCCGGGGGCUGGAGAAUUAGUGUUGAAUGGCUACAGCGUUUCAAUUGGGGAAGAUGAGAAAGUUCUGGAGCUGCACAGUGGAGAUGGUUCCACCGUAAUGUAGAUGUACUGUAUACCACUGAGCUGUACACCUAAAAAUGGUUAAAAUGGUCAAUUUUAUGUUAUGUCUAUUUUACCACCAGUUUUUUUUUUUCUUUACAUAGAUGGAGAACUCACAGAUUGGCCCACUGGCAAGGGUCCUAUGAGGUUUUAGAGGUUUAUAAACACAAGCUCAAAUGAAAAAUUACCCUAGAGUUUUCCCAUGGUUAGCUGUGAGUACAGGAAUAUCUGCCCCCAUCCCACCAAGAGGGCUUCAGAAUAGAGAGAGAGGGUUCACUGAGUAAGGAGCGGCAGACUCCAAAUAGACGCCUAUUCCAGACCAGAGAACAUCGUGAAAGAGGAGAGGACUGGAAUAAGAUGGUCAGAGAAGCAAAAUGAGCUAAGGGGUUUGAAACAACAGAACAGAAACAUUGUGGACCACCAGUGGUGCGGGACGUCUGGUGACAGCUUAGGUGACCAGUCCAGUGUGAAGCUGAUAAAGGGGUAUAAUUACAACAGCUAACGUUUAUUAAGCACUUACUGUAUGUCAGGCACCACUAUAAACGCUGCCCAGGCAAUAGUUCGCUUUAUCUUCACAACCACCAUCUAAGGGAUGUUAUCAUCCUGAUCUCACAGAUGAAAGAAAAACUGGAACAUGCCCCAACGUAGAGUAGCAAAGACAGGAUUUGAACCCAGGCAGUCCAGUUUCUGAGCAGAGCUCCUAACCAUGAGGGUAUGUGGCGUAAGGCAGGACAGUAUGACAUCCAACACAAUGAGUUUAUAGGUUUCUGUUUGUAGCUUCAACUCUCCAGCACCUCACCCCUCAAAACCGCCUUCAACAUUUAGGACACAGCGUAAGUGUCUUUUUUUUUUGAGACGGAGUCUCGCACUGUCGCCGGUGGCGCAGUCUCGGCUCACUGCAACCUCCCCCUCCCGGGUUCAAGCGAUUCACCUGCCUCAACCUCCCAUGAUGUCUUGAUUCAAAAGCUCUGCUGCUCUCAACUGCACAGACUUGUCUUCAAGUCCAGCAAUACUUCUCUGAUUUUCCACUUAUUUACCAAAAUGACCCUGUAUGCAGCUGACUGAAGUGUUACCGUGAGAAAACCAUGUAAUGUUCAAACGGGUUUUUUGAUAUUAAAAGAAACAGCAGUACCCCCUUGAGAAGUCGACUUAGAGAAAGCUGGAGGCUCACGGCGGGGACAGGAAAGGCUUGUUUCUCACAUGCCCGUGAAGUGAUGUUUACACAAGACUCCAGCUUCAAAGCCCAUGAAAGUGGGGGACACGCAAGUUGGUUUCUAAGGAAACAUCCAUGAUCAGGGGAAAGAGGCGUCUCUGGCAAGGAGAACUAUAAUCUUUCUCCUGUACUUUAAACCAAGGCAUGAGAAGAUGAAAAGCCACGGAAGUUCCUCUAAGCUCCACAGACUUUCUCUGAAUCCCUGUGACUGGCUGCUUUAAUUCUGCCACCUUCCGUGCCUGGCUCUGCAAAGGUGCUCAGUAAAUAAACGUUCAUUGAAUGAACAGACAUUAUGCACCCAGUGUACAAGUCCUUUGAGAAAAGGGGUCAAAUCCCAAUUCCCUUGAAAUCCCGAGACAUUUAAUUUAAUCAAUGUUGAAGUAAAGUGUACAACAAAAAGUGCUGCAUUUGGCAACACAAACACUAGAACCCAGUCCCCAAAGAGCAAUAGAGAAAUGGCCACCAUGUAAGCACUGGGAAGCCAGCCAGCGGAGCUUGCCAUCAUCUGUCUAGCUUUUUUUUUUUUUUCCAAGACGGAGUUUCGCUCCUGUUGCCCAGGCUGGAGUGCAAUGGCGCGAUCCCAGUUCACUGCAGCCUCCGCCCCCUGGGUUCAAGCAAUUCUCCUGCCUCAGCCUCCUGAUUAGCUGGGAUUACAGGCGCCCACCAUGCCCAGCUAAUUUUUUUUUUUUUUUUUUGUAUUUUCAGUAGAGACAGGAUUUUGCUGUGUUGGCCAGGCUGCUCUCAACCUCCUGGCCUCAGGUGAUCCACCCACCUCGGCCUCCCAAAGUGCUGGGAUUACAGGUAUGAGCCACAGUGCCCAGCCCAUCUGUCUAGUUUAUAUUCCAUGCAGACUGUGCUGUAGAUCCUCCUGGGCCCUACUGAGUGUGAAGUCUAGUGGAGGCCCAGCACCAGGGGAGCCAAAACAGGGAUGCCUGGGCAGCAUGGGAGAGCACAGAGAAGGGGCCCUGAGCCCAGACUUGGAGGCUCAGGUGGGCCUGGAGUGGUGGUUCAAAGGCCCAGGAAGACAGGGGGCAGAGGGGUUUGGAAGAGCACAAUAAAGACACAGGAGCGGCCCAGCGCGGUGGCUCACACCUGUAAUCCCAGCACUUUGGGAGGCCCAGGCGGGUGGAUCACAAGGUCAGGAGUUCAAGACCAGCCUGGCCAAUAUGGUGAAACCUCAUCUCUACUAAAAAUACAAAAAAAUUAGCUGGACAUUGUGGUGCAUGCCUGUAAUCCCAAUUACUCAGGAGGCUGAGGCAGGAGGAUUGCUUGAACGCGGGAGGUGGAGGUUGCAGUGAGUUGAUAUCACGCCACUGCAUUCCAGCCUGGGUCACAGAGUGAGACUCCAUCUCAAAAAAAAAAAAAAAAGACAUAGGAGCAUAGACCGGCAUCAUGGAUGUGGGGACCAGCACUAGGGUGUUGCUGGAGUGAAAAGCCCACAUGGGAAGUGGUGCGGGCUGAGCCAAGAGCUGAGCCAUGGCAUCUUUGGGUGCUGAGCCAAGGAUGUGAACUUCACCCCGAGAGCCAUGAGCAGCCACUGAAGAAUUUCAAGGAGGGGAGUAACAUGAUUUGAUUCUUUUAUUUUAAACUAACCACUAUUUAAGCUCAGUCUAUCCAUGGAGGAAAAGAGCUAAGACAGGCAGACAGUUAGGAGGCGAUUGUAGCAAAUAAUACAAACCAAAAACAUUGGAAAUGUUAAGAAGGUGGGUGACUGGUGUGGUAGCCAGAUGGUUAGCAGAGCUGACCAGAGACGGUAAGGACGGGGAUGGAGAGACAGGGAGAGGGGGAGUGGAGGGGAGCCCAGAUGUGCAGCCCUGGAGCUCGGAAGAGAAGCAGGCCUGAGAGCCACAGAGCCCCAAGAGGUUGCCCGGAGAGAGAGUCCCGAGUGAGAAAAACAAAAACCCAUGACAGGUCCUUGGGAAAUUCUGCCACUUUCGAGGUUGUGGGAAGAGGGGAGCCCAUAAAGGGCCUAGGAAGGGAGGGCAAAGUCAUCCUAACCAAACAGACGUCAACAUGAAGGCGAUAUCACCAAUCAGAGGGGGCAGGGUGUUUCAUGGAAGGAGAGGGCACAGCACCAAGUGCCCAGAGAUUUCCCUGGGCACUCAUAUCAAUGAAGUGGAAUCAGCAAGAGCAGUAUUGAGUGGCAGGGUGGAAGCCUGGGAACGGGAAGUGGGGGGACUGGAGUGAAGGGAAGAUGAGGAAGAGGCGACAGGAAUGGAACAGGCAAUGCUUUCCAGUUGGCUCUCAAAGAAUAGCACCACAGCAAGAGGGGUUCGGGCUUGAGGGAGGCUUUCUUUCUUUUCUUUUUCUUUUUUUUUUUUUUUUUUUUUUGAGACAGAGUCUUGCUCUGUCACCCAGGCUAGAGUGCAGUGGCCUGAUCUCAGCUCACUGCAACCUCCGCCUCCCGGGUUUAAGCGAUUCUUCUGCCUCAGCCUCCUGAGUAGCUGGGAUUACAGGCGUGCGCCACCACGCCCGGCUAAUUUUGUAUUUUUGGUAGAGACAGGGUUUCACCGUUUUGGCCAGGCUGGUCUCGAACUCCUGACCUCGUGAUCCUCCUGCUCCUCCGCCUUCCAAAAUGCUGGGAUUACAGGCGUCAGCCACCGCACCAGGCUGGGAGGCUUUCUUUAAAGGAGGUGGAGUAUGUCCCUGUUUAUAUGCUGAACGGACAUUCACCCCAGGCUAUGGGUGGAGCGCUGGGCAAGGAAGAGGUGAGAGGAGAAAAUGGGGCUCAGAUGGAGGAAGGAGGGUCCACAGGAGCGGAUAGAAGGAAGCGGAGCUCCCUUUGCCCAGUGACACGGCAGUCAGUCCUCUCCAGCUGACAUUGCCAUGUGGGAAUGUGGGCUCAGUGAACAUGACAAAAUGUUGAGAGGCCAUACAUUCCAUAUUUUUGUUUAUUGUUUUGUUUUGUUUUUUUGGGACGGAAUAUCACUCUGUCGUCGCCCAGGCUGGAGUGCAGUGGUGCAAUCUCAACUCACGGCAACCUCUGCCUCCUGGGUUCAAGCAAUUCUCCUGUCUCAGCCUCCCGAGUAGCUGGGAUUACAGGUGCCUGCCACCAUACCCGGCUAAUUUUUAUAUUUCUAGUAGAGACAGGGUUUCACUAUGUUGGCUAGGCUGGUCUUGAACUCCUGACCUCAAGUGAUCCGCCUGCCUCGGCCUCCCAAAGUGUUGGAUUACAACCAUGAGCCACCAUGCCCAGCCAGUCUCCUGAUUCUUAAAUGUUUGCAAUUACCUCCAAAAAACAGUUUCAUUUUGGUACAGGCCAGAAACAUGGCUACGGCCCACACUGAGCCAAUGACCCCUCCACGUAGCUCCCUAUGACCCAGGAUUUCCAUAGCCCACAGUCACUCACUUCUUCCCCUCCAGCUCACCCUCCAUGUGGGCAUCUCCCUCCUAGGAGGCCUGAAAAAGACUUUCCUUUAGAGGAUCAAAAAGACUUUUUCUACACUCUGGUAGAUCUUCCACUAGGAGUAGAUUCCAACCCUUUAAUUCUGAGUCUUUGGUUUCUGCCCCACCCUGGCUUCUGGGUUUAAUAGGUACUGUCUUAAAAGAAUGUGGAUAUUCCACGGCAGCCCUCCCUAUGAAGAAACGCUUGAGACUCCUUCUGAAGGAGUACGUAAUCCUUCUGUAGUAAGUGCAUUUCCUAUGGGCUUCUCACAAAGCUGAAAGAAGAGUAGGGUUUGAAUUUCCAGGCCCAGGAGAAAGAGGGGCUGGGCUCCUGGGGUCCUGAGCCAUAUCCUUCCACGUGUGGCUUCCACAGCCCAGGCAGGCAUGCCCAUCUGUGAUAAAGGGUAUCAUUAUCAUAAUCAAGGUCAUCCGUCUUUCAGUCCCCAUCACUUCUCUCACCUGCAUUUGGGGUGGAGACUGAAACUGCCCCGGCUUGGCUGCUGGCUUCCUUCUGUUUGUUCUGGUCUUUGCAUUCCAGUGCUGAUGGCUGUGGUGUGUUCUAACAAGGAUAAAGAUUAUCACCAGGUCACUCAUCAAAUCAUCCAAUCAAUGAGCACUUUUCAAAUGCCUACUAUGGGUGUAUAAAAUACCAGAGACCCCACGUUUACCACUACCACCCCCCAAC